rnacentral:rRNA from 1 species
CACACUGGGACUGAGACACGGCCCAGACUCCUACGGGAGGCAGCAGUAGGGAAUCUUGCGCAAUGGGCGAAAGCCUGACGCAGCAACGCCGCGUGAGGGACGAAGGCUUUCUGAGUUGUAAACCUCUUUCAGCAGGGACGAUUGUGACGGUACCUGCAGAAGAAGCACCGGCCAACUACGUGCCAGCCGCCGCAGUAACAC